AGUGAACGCUGGCGGCGUGCUUAACACAUGCAAGUCGAACGAGAAACGGAUUUAGCUUGCUAAAUUGCAGUCUAAGUGGCGCACGGGUGAGUAAUGUAUAGGUAAUAUGCCUCGUACUAAGGGAUAACAAUUGGAAACGAUUGCUAAUACCGUAUAUGCCUUUAAAACGAAAGUAUGCAAGGGAAAGAUUUGUUGGUAAGAGAUUAGCCUGUAGGGUAUCAGCUUGUUGGGGAGGUAAUGGCUCACCAAGGCUAUGACGCCUAACUGGUUUGAGAGGAUGAUCAGUCACACUGGAACUGAGACACGGUCCAGACUCCUACGGGAGGCAGCAGUGGGGAAUAUUGCACAAUGGACGAAAGUCUGAUGCAGCAACGCCGCGUGGAGGAUGACACAUUUCGGUGCGUAAACUCCUUUUAUAUAGGAAGAUAAUGACGGUACUAUAUGAAUAAGCACCGGCUAACUCCGUGCCAGCAGCCGCCGUAA
rnacentral:rRNA from 1 species